UACAGAGGGGGCAAGCGUUGUUCGGAAUUACUGGGCGUAAAGGGCGCGUAGGCGGCCUUCUAAGUCGAACGUGAAAUCCCUGGGCUCAACCCAGGAACCGCGUCCGAUACUGGAAGGCUUGAAUCCGGGAGAGGGAUGCGGAAUUCCAGGUGUAGCGGUGAAAUGCGUAGAUAUCUGGAGGAACACCGGUGGCGAAGGCGGCAUCCUGGACCGGCAUUGACGCUGAGGCGCGAAAGCCAGGGGAGCAAACGGG
rnacentral:rRNA from 1 species